UUCCGGUUGAUCCUGCCAGACCUGACUGCUAUCGGAUUGAUACUAAGCCAUGCGAGUCAUUGUAGCAAUACAAGGCAGACGGCUCAGUAACGCGUAGUCAACCUACCCUAUGGACGGGGAUAACCUCGGGAAACUGAGAAUAAUACCAGAUAGAACAUUAUACCUGGAAUGGUUUAUGUUUCAAAUAAUUUAUUGCCGUAGGAUGGGACUGCGGCCUAUCAGUUUGUUGGUGAGGUAAUGGCCCACCAAGACUAUUACAGGUACGGGCUCUGAGAGGAGUAGCCCGGAGAUGGGUACUGAGACACGAACCCAGGCCCUAUGGGGCGCAGCAGGCGAGAAAACUUUGCAAUGUGCGAAAGCACGACAAGGUUAAUCCGAGUGGUUUCUGCUAAAGGAACCUUUUGCCAGUCCUAGAAACACUAGUGAAUAAGGGGUGGGCAAGUUCUGGUGUCAGCCGCCGCGGUAAAAUCAGCACCUCAAGUGGUCAGGAUGAUUAUUGGGCCUAAAGCAUCCGUAGCCUGCUUUGCCAGUUUUCGGUUAAAUCCAUACGCUUAACGUAUGGGCUGCCGGAAAUACUACAAAGCUAGGGAGUGGGAGAGGUAGACGGUACUCGGUAGGAAGGGGUAAAAUCCUUUGAUCUAUUGAUGACCACCUGUGGCGAAGGCGGUCUACCAGAACACGUCCGACGGUGAGGGAUGAAAGCUGGGGGAGCAAACCGGAUUAGAUACCCGGGUAGUCCCAGCUGUAAACUAUGCAAACUCGGUGAUGCAUUGGCUUGAUGCCAAUGCAGUGCCGCAGGGAAGCCGUUAAGUUUGCCGCCUGGGAAGUACGUACGCAAGUAUGAAACUUAAAGGAAUUGGCGGGGGAGCACCACAAGGGGUGAAGCCUGCGGUUCAAUUGGAUUCAACGCCGGAAAUC
rnacentral:rRNA from 1 species